ACAGGUAUUAGACGAGCUCUCGACCUCUCUUCGAGCAUUGCCUUGAUAGAUUGCGCGACUUCGCAUGGCCUCACAAUGUAUGUCAUUCACUUUCUCUCCCAAUCGAUCAAUUUUUCUGUCUCUCGAUCAUUUUUUUCCAAAAGCUUCGAAUUCAUCAAUUUAUUUGAAGUUAGGGUUCAGUGAGAGCCAUGGAAAGGUAGACUACGAAGCCAAAAUGCAUUCUCAAUCAAUUGAUCUCAAACCCUAACUAAUCUCUACACACUCCUCUGUAUCGAACGAUUCGACCUCUCUGCAGUCUCAUCUCUGAUCGCAAACUUGAACCAGUUGAAGCAAUUCAUCGAUGAUUGCAAGUCCAAUCCCUCAAUCUUCUCUAAUCUUUCUCUCUCCUUCUUCUGAGAUGACCUUGAAAGAUGAGAGACUCUUCUAUCGAGGUCAUGGAAGAAAACCGUGAUGUUUCCUAGGAGGCUAAGGGAAACUGGAGGAAGCAAUAGAGUAGCUCACACAGGUUAUUUUGCUCAAUCCAACCUCAGCAAUUAUGUAUUCAGGGUCUCUCAUAGCGAUCGCUUCAGCCGAAGUCUUCUUCGAAGAACGUUAUCACGGUACCUUCUCUCUAGCUCUUAUUUUUUUAUUCUUACUUGUUAAUUUUCGCUUGCAUUUCGAGAUUUCUAUGAUUUUUUGGUGGUUUAGUGGAGUGAAUUGAUGUUGAAUUUGAUAUUCCUCGCCGAUAUGAUCUUUCAAUUCAAUUUUUAAUUUGUUGUUAAAUUGUUUAAUUUGUUCCAGUGAGCCUUAUUGUGUUGAUGUGUAUAUUCUUUAUCCUUUUUAGUUAUUUAAUUCUGUGUAUUUACACUUACUUUUCUACUGAUGCAGUGAUGCACAAGAAAGAGUAGCAUUACUUCUGACAUCCAUUGUCAGUAUUAAG